CUAUUCCUGUGAAUUAUGAUGCCCAACACACCGGAUAACAAAAUUUACCACUUUGUUCGGCUGUUCCAAGUACACUUUUAAGAUACAAGGUCCGAUCAUAUCAUGUUCUUCGAAGCAUUUGCUCAAAACAGUCCAACAUAAAUAUCGCCACUCAUCUUCUUCGUAUGAAAAUAUAAGUUUUCCUUUCAAUUGCUUUGCUUUGAAAACAGUCAUUAGGUUGUUGAAGAGUUAGCCUAGAACUUCCAACAACAAAAAACCCAGAUGCUUUCAAAAACCAGUGAAUCACAA